rnacentral:rRNA from 1 species
GAUAAACGCUAGCGGCAGGCUUAACACGUGCAAGUCGAGGGGCAGCAUAGAUUGUAGCAAUACAAUUGGUGGCGACCGGCGCAUGGGUGCGUAACGCGUAUGCAACCUACCCGUCACAGGGGGAUAAUCCGGAGAAAUCUGGUCUAAUACCCCAUAACAUAUGGAUCGGCAUCGGUUCAUGUUGAAAUUUUCGGAGGUGACGGAUGGGCAUGCGUAGCAUUAGCUUGUUGGUGAGGUAACAGCUCACCAAGGCGACGAUGCUUAGGGGGACUGAGAGGUUUUCCCCCCACACUGGUACUGAGACACGGACCAGACUCCUACGGGAGGCAGCAGUGAGGAAUAUUGGUCAAUGGGCGCAAGCCUGAACCAGCCAUGCCGCGUGCAGGAUGACGGCUCUAUGAGUUGUAAACUGCUUUUGUACGAGGGUAAAGUGGGUUACGUGUAACCUUUUGAAAGUAUCGUACGAAUAAGGAUCGGCUAACUCCGUGCCAGCCGCCGCCGUAA